rnacentral:rRNA from 1 species
CGGCCGCGUCGACGCUGAAGAGAGGAGCUUGCUCUUCUUGGAUGAGUUGCGAACGGGUGAGUAACGCGUAGGUAACCUGCCUUGUAGCGGGGGAUAACUAUUGGAAACGAUAGCUAAUACCGCAUAACAAUGGAUGACACAUGUCAUUUAUUUGAAAGGGGCAAUUGCUCCACUACAAGAUGGACCUGCGUUGUAUUAGCUAGUAGGUGAGGUAAUGGCUCACCUAGGCGACGAUACAUAGCCGACCUGAGAGGGUGAUCGGCCACACUGGGACUGAGACACGGCCCAGACUCCUACGGGAGGCAGCAGUAGGGAAUCUUCGGCAAUGGGGGCAACCCUGACCGAGCAACGCCGCGUGAGUGAAGAAGGUUUUCGGAUCGUAAAGCUCUGUUGUAAGGUCAAGAACGAGUGUGAGAGUGGAAAGUUCACACUGUGACGGUAGCUUACCAGAAAGGGACGGCUAACUACGUGCCAGCAGCCGCGGUAAUCGUAAGGUCCCGAGCGUUGUCCGGAUUAUUGGGCGUAAAGCGAGCCG